UUUACCUUUUGUUACAAUGGAAAAAUAAGUUGUCAAAGCAUAAAUGAUUUGUUUUGUAAUAUUAUAAGCUCCAAUGAAAGUAAUGUUCAUUAGUAUCAGUUAAUAACAUUUUGUGUUAUUGGGUAAUGAAUAACUCGUAGAUUGUCAUGUAAAAUCCAAGCAAAUAAUAGGCUCUGCGGCCAAGAAACUAGGAUCGUUAGAACCUUCACGCUCUAAGAGUCUAAGUAAAUUUUAUGAGAGCUCAAAUCUUUGUUAAAGUAUUCAAUCUAUUAUAAUUCAGUUUUAAAUAUAAAUUAUUAUCCAAGUUAAUUUUCUUGUUGCGUAUUUCUUUAUUUAAACGUUGGGGUAGUUUUUCGGAUUGUUUGAAGUUAAAACGCGAGCGAAAUUCUCCAAAAUCUUGGAAAGUCCAUACAAAACGGUUGCGGUUUUAAGGAAAAGAUGUAUUCAGAGAUGUCUAACUGUUGUUCGAGGCAAGCCGUCUUUCUAACACACUUCAGUGAUACUCUCUUGUUCAUCUCUUUCAACAUGUUAAAUAAAAUCCUGUAGUGGACUGUAAGGUCGUAAGGCUCUUAGUGGCAAGGUACUUCAAUUGAGAAUUGAGGAUUCGUUGUGUAACGCCACUCUAUAAAAAUAACCCGGAUUUGGUUGUCUCUGUUUUUCUCUCUUUCCUUAAUGCGGUCGUAUACUUGGACCGAACAGCAUAGAGUUAGAAGGAAAAAGCGGCGAUAAUGAUAAUAGAAAUCAAACUUUGUCUCUAAUAUGAUUAUUAUGAUUAUUAUUUUAUAUCUAAUUAAUAUCUCAUAAAUGUUAUAUAAUAUAAAUAUUUUUUUCAUUACUAAAAACCCCUGUAAACUCUAAAACUAUACUAUAAUUUUACCUUUUUAAUACAAAUUUUAAUAACAUUGAAAUGUUUCAAUCAUGAAUGAUAUUUUGAACAUGAUAUUAUUUACAUAUAUGUUAGAAAUUAAUUUUGUUAAUACUUCCACACAUCCUCUAAACAGUCAUGCUAUCGAUACCCUAUAGCUCAGCGGCUAUCAGCUUUGCAAACAUUCACUCAAAGACGCAGCCAGUACUAGCAAGCAGGUCCUUGCUGAGCCAACAAUUCAAUCAUAAAUUAUCGUAAGGCUAAAUAGCGACGGACUUUCUGCCAUUAUGUUGGCAGGAAGAUACGCUGCCUCUAACAUAUUAUAUACAUAUAGAUACAAAUAAAUAAUAAAGCAAUGAAUCCAACAUUUGUUUAAUGAUAAAACUACAUCAAUUAUUUUAUAAAUUUAUGGUAUUAGUAACGUACAUCACAAUUGCAUUCCUUAAUAAAAUAAUCAUCAGAAAAGAAACAACAAUUAUAUUACCAUUACACUUUCAUAAUCAUAAGUUAUAAGAAAAAUAGCUAAAAAUACUUAAACACACUACAACAGAAUAUAAGAUAUCAGAUAUUUUCUUAUGUUAUAUGUUGUGUAAAAUAAUAAGUUCUAUAUAUAGAUUCUACUAUUUUAUGUUAUACAAACUAUAUAAUUUGUAUGUAUAUCAAUACAAUUUUGAUAUAAUUUUUGGCACAAUAUUCUUGUAAAUACAGAAAGUUAAUAAACGGACAAUUUUGAUUAUUUAUUUCUCAUUAGAUGAAUGUCAUAUGAAUUAAAUAUUUGUUUUAUAACCAAUAAUAAAAGCUGAUUUUUAUAAAAGGUUGUACACUAUAAAAAGAACUAUCUAAAAUUAUUAAAAAAUAAUUGCUAUACAAAUAUAUGCUAUACAGGAAGUAAAUAAUUUAUACUAAAAUGUUAGGCAUCAUUUACUAUUACAAUAGGAUUCCAUUUAUCUGAACAAAUUUUGUCAGUCUCUAAUUUAUCUAACGUGUUGACUUAUUAUACAAAUUUGGGCUCGCUAUUAUACUUUUUAUAUAAAAUCAAAUUAUUAUAUAGAAAGUACAUAUAUAAAGUAUAGCUUUGUUUAUCUUCAUUUAUCACACUUUGUUUACAGAUACAAGUUAAUACUCAGUUUCAGAUAUUUAAACUUGUAGCUGAUCUACAAUUAUUUAUUAUCUAUUUGUCGUAUUCAGAACAUAUUUCAUAUGUCCCAGUGAAGGAAUAUGAACACAUUACUGAGACGAUACUAUAUAACAAUGAAGCUCAAAAUUGGUUCAAAUUAUUGAAAAAAAAUUUAAUGUAUCUAUAUCUUGGCAAUAUAUCUUGGAAAGAAAAAGAAUAAUACUAAAUCUUGGUAAAAUAUGUAAUAUCCUCAAACGACUGAAAAUAUACUUAUUAGAGAAAAAAACAGACGUAAAAAAACGUAAUUAACCUUCAUACAUAUGUUCUCUAUGUGUCCAUCUGCAAGAAAAUAAAAAUAUCAAAUUGUGUUCUCAUGGACAUAAAUUCAACACUCGUUUGACAACUUUUUUCGUACAGAAGAUAACCUAACUCCUAGUAAUGCUAUAAUAGGUGUAUGAAUAUGAAUAUGGAAUGAUGUAAAUAUAGUAAAUAUCAUCACCAUGUCCUAAUAACUUAAACAGAUUGAAACGCACAAAAUCCCAAAACGUAAAAAGAUAUGAAAAAAAAGAGACAAAGGAAUGAGCUAAAAUUCAGUUAUUUGAAUAAGUGCAAUAGAGAAUCAAACUUCUAUCAACUCAAUAAACCAAUUAUCUGAAUUAUGUUAUUACUAUUUCCCAUAAUAUUCGGAUGAACGUAGUUUUAUUAUGUAAUACUCCAUUUUAUUAUAUUUAAAUUUAAAACUAUUAUUAAAGCGUGUAUAAGUUACUUUUCUAAUACAAAUUCGUAGAAAUUCAUAUUUUACAAAUAACAAUUUUAUGAUAGCUGAAUAUUUUCUUUACUGCUACUUUUUUUAGUUAUAUUUUGACAAAUAUCCACAAUUUAAGAAUAUAAUUUUUAUAUGUAUAUUUCAGGUACUUAACCCUCCGAAGAUCGUGGUUGAUCUGACAGGUACAGUUUUGGUAAUGAUGAUACAUCUGCUGUCAUAAAAUUAUCUGAAAGACAGACUGCAGGAAAGACAUGAUUUAGUAUGGCAUAAUAAUGAAAACCAGCUGCUACAGCAACAAAAAGGUGCCAAAUUGCAUGUGCACAUGGUAUUCUUCCAUCAGAUUUAAAAAACGCAAUACCAAAAAUAUAAAACAGUCCUCCCAAUUUUAAUUCAGUAAUGUUAUAUUGAUGAUACUGUAAGUAUUAAGUAAUGUACACUAUGGAAAAAUGUUGAGACCGUAAAAAUAAGAAUCAAGGAUGUGCCAUAUACAUAAGCUGAUACCAAUUGGGUCCAUGUCAUAGAGCGGCGAACCAAUUCCAAGCUACCUAUAACUGAUGGUACAACCCAAAUCCCAUGAGUAGCUACAUUUGCCAUGUGUUCUACAGAAGUAGGUAUAUAUGCUUCGUUACUACAUGCUGGAGGAUUCAUCCAUUUUAUUCUAUAGUUGGUGAAAUAUCCUGUAUAUGCGUGGUCAAGAGCAAAAUGCAUUGAAACGGCCAAAGUUUAUGAUGCCCACCUAACGGUCAAAUUGUCAAAUUGUUGAUCAACUGAUCUAUAAAAAAAGUUUUGGUGAGAACGGCUUUCCCUUAAACUUAAAACAUGUGGAUUACCUGCAAAACGGUUAACUCUAUGUCAUCGUCAGCCUAGCCAUAAUUUCAAACAUUUAGCAUUUGACGACACACUUUUCCUUUGCGUGCAUAACGUCACUUGGUUUAAUUAUUAGACCUAUGAUGAUUGGGGAGUAAUUACAUAGUUCGAAAAAUAAAAGACGUGCUAGGAUACAAGGAAGAGGAAAUUUAAAUAGGGGAAUUUUCGUUUAAUAAAGAAUCUUCUACAGAGUAUUUCACCUAACUUGACCAUCUUAAAUAUUUCGGUUAUUUUUUAUGAUAGGAAAAAAUAUCAGAGGAAGAGAAUAUUCGGUUCGAAGGGACAAAUGUGGUGAUAGGCAAAUAAUUUCUUCAAGGCCACUCUUUCGAGAUUUUAAAGUCAUCGAAGUAUUUUUAAAUGAAACUACAUAUUUUCAUUAUAACACUUAUAACUCCCCAAAAAAAUUCAACGAUGUGGAAUAUGUUGACCUUUACGUAACCUUCAACAAGAAAAAAAAAUAUAUAAAGAAAUAUUGAGAAUUGCAGUUAUUUCAUAUUCUGCAAUAAAAUAUGAGUGACUUUAGUAAAUAUGAGAUUGAUUCUUUUAAAAAGUUACUAUCCAAAUUAGGAUUUUUAUUAG